rnacentral:rRNA from 1 species
AUGAACGCUGACAGAAUGCUUAACACCUGCAAGUCAACUUGAAUUUGGGUUUUUAACUUAGGUUUGGGUGGCGGACGGGUGAGUAACGCGUAAAGAACUUGCCUCACAGCUAGGGACAACAUUUGGAAACGAAUGCUAAUACCUAAUAUUAUGAUAAUAGGGCAUCCUAUAAUUAUGAAAGCUAUAAGCGCUGUGAGAGAGCUUUGCGUCCCAUUAGCUAGUUGGAGAGGUAACGGCUCACCAAGGCGAUGAUGGGUAGCCGGCCUGAGAGGGUGAUCGGCCACAAGGGGACUGAGACACGGCCCUUACUCCUACGGGAGGCAGCAGUGGGGAAUAUUGGACAAUGGACCAAGAGUCUGAUCCAGCAAUUCUGUGUGCACGAUGAAGUUUUUCGGAAUGUAAAGUGCUUUCAGUUGGGAAGAAAGAAAUGACGGUACCAACAGAAGAAGUGACGGCUAAAUACGUG